rnacentral:ncRNA from 1 species
CUAGGUGGUUCAUACCGAAAAAAAGAAAUAAGGGGGACCAUAUCGUGAAAACGGUAUGAGAAAAGUUGACUAUAUCGGUGGAAAUCUUGAUAUAAUUAAGAUUACACCGAGGGAAGUUUGUGAAUUAGAAGAUGAGUAAAGAGUCCAGCAAUUGGAACAAUAUUCUGCAAACCACUGCAUCAGGCGGCGUGGUGCGAGACUUAGGGCUCGUAGUAGUACGAAAAUUGCAGAGUUUUGGCUCUUAAUUCAUCUGGGUCCGAACGUACGGUCGGACCCACUCAUCUUCUAAUUCAUAAAUACCCGUAGAGACUAAAUGUCAGCCAUCCAGUAAAAAGGAUGAAGAUAUAGUCCGAUCUUUGUGGUGACACAAAG